GCAUAUCAAUAAGCGGAGGAAAAGAAACCAACAGGGAUUGCCCCAGUAACGGCGAGUGAAGCGGCAACAGCUCAAAUUUGAAAUCUGGCCCCCAGGGUCCGAGUUGUAAUUUGCAGAGGAUGAUUUUGGCGAGGUGCCUUCCGAGUUCCCUGGAACGGGACGCCACAGAGGGUGAGAGCCCCGUCUGGUUGGACGCCGAGCCUAUGUAAAUCUCCUUCGACGAGUCGAGUAGUUUGGGAAUGCUGCUCUAAAUGGGAGGUAUAUGUCUUCUAAAGCUAAAUAUUGGCCAGAGACCGAUAGCGCACAAGUAGAGUGAUCGAAAGAUGAAAAGCACUUUGAAAAGAGGGUUAAAUAGUACGUGAAAUUGUUGAAAGGGAAGCGCUCAUGACCAGACUUGGGCCCGGUGAAUCAUCCAGCGUUCUCGCUGGUGCACUUUGCCGGGCACAGGCCAGCAUCAGUUUGCCCUGGGGGAUAAAGGCUUUGGGAAUGUGGCUCCUCCGGGAGUGUUAUAGCCCAUUGCAUAAUAUCCUGGGGCGGACUGAGGUUCGCGCAUCUGCAAGGAUGCUGGCGUAAUGGUCAUCAGCGACCCGUCUUGAAACACGGACCAAGGAGUCGUCUUCGUAUGCGAGUGUUCGGGUGUAAAACCCCUACGCGUAAUGAAAGUGAACGCAGGUGAGAGCUUCGGCGCAUCAUCGACCGAUCCUGAUGUUCUCGGAUGGAUUUGAGUAAGAGCAUACGGGGCCGGACCCGAAAGAAGGUGAACUAUGCCUGUAUAGGGUGAAGCCAGAGGAAACUCUGGUGGAGGCUCGCAGCGGUUCUGACGUGCAAAUCGAUCGUCAAAUAUGGGCAUGGGGGGCGAAAGACUAAUCGAACCUUCUAGUAGCUGGUUUCCGCGA
rnacentral:rRNA from 1 species